rnacentral:lncRNA from 1 species
CCCGUCGUUUUGCUGACAAAUUUAUUGCCUACGCCCACGAGAACCACAGGAACCAGCGGCUGGCCCGGAUCCGGACACAAUGCACGUGACGUUUAUGAGGUACAAACUGGUGCUAAAAGGAAAUCGUCCACGUGUCUUCUCUUGAUUAGGCAGAAGGGUUCUGACCUGCAGCGUUCUUGUUGCCGUGCAAAGUAGAAAAAAAAAA